AUUGAACGCUGGCGGCAGGCCUAACACAUGCAAGUCGAGCGAGCGGCGGACGGGUGAGUAAUGUCUGGGAAACUGCCCGUUGGAGGGGGAGACAACCUGGAAACGGUAGAGAAUACCGCAUACCACCGCAUGUGUCCAGAUGGGAGUGGCGAGUAGGUGGGGUAACGGCUCACCGAGGCGACGAUCCCUAGAUGGUCUGAGAGGAUGACCAGCCACACUGGAACUGAGACACGGUCCAGACUCCUACGGGAGGCAGCAGUGGGGAAUAUUGCACAAUGGGCGCAAGCCUGAUGCAGCCAUGCCGCGUGUAUGAAGAAGGCCUUCGGGUUGUAAAGUACUUUCAGCGGGGAGGCGUUACCCGCAGAAGAAGCACCGGCUAACUCCGUGCCAGCAGCCGCGGUAAUAC
rnacentral:rRNA from 1 species